CUGUGUGUAUUUAGCAGUCUGUCUGUGUGUAUUUAGCAGUCUGUCUGUAUUUAGCAGACUGCUGAAUACACACACACAGACUGCUGAGUACACA
rnacentral:miRNA from 1 species